rnacentral:pre_miRNA from 1 species
CAUGCACCAGUGGGGUCCCUCGGCCUGGCCUGCGCCCUCUUGCAAUCCAGGACCCCUCAGAGGAUGUUGGAGAGCCAGUUUUAGCCCGAUCCCACAGGCCAGGCCGAGGGACCCCACUGGUGCAUG